CGUAGCAGUCUUGACCUGAGCGAAGUCCUGAGACCCAAUAGGAGAGUGGGCACCUGGGGCUUCCUGGGGAGGGAGAACAGUAAGGAAGGGUAGAGGGACCUGGAAACUCAGUGGAGGAGGCGACUGGAUGUUUUAAGAUCUCCUGGCAGACAGGGGCCAAGGGAAUAGCCAGGGAUGGGGGUGGGCAGGGAUGGGAAGCAGCCUGAGGAAGGAGGGCUCUGUGGGUAGAGAUACAUGGGGUGUGUCUGUACCCCAAAUGUACACACGCACAUCAUUCUCCAGGGCUUCUCCUUGGAGCCUGUCUGUGGUCUCAGUCCUUCAGCCUGGCACACCAGACCAGGUCCCAGGCGGGGAUGCAGGCAGAGCGGGCAUCCCUGGGGGAAAGUGCUCCCCUACCCACUUUCGUUUGUUGCCCUGGUGUCACUUGCCAACUGGUAGCCUGGCAGAACCUCCUCCUGGGCCAGUUUCUCACAGACUGGAUUCAAACCGCCCCUUAGAUAACUGAGCGACAGGUGCCUGCUGCACCACGGGCCUGUUAGGAUUGUUUCAUGCUCUCAUUCAGCACGUUGAAAAUAGGUAAGGCUAGUGGAAAGUUAGUGUCCACCCCUUCCUCAACCCAGUUGUUGUGGUGCUGCUGUGUUCUUUCCUGUGGAAUCAGGAGGAAUUCGGUCAGGCCUUGGAACCAGGGGUUGUGGAAGUUGAGAGAGCUCUUCCUGCUUUCUGUAUUCAGAGUGGUCUGAAAGGUGUAGUGUUGGCUGGUCAGGGAAAGAAUGGCUACAGAGUGUUACAUUUUUAUGUUAUCCUUCCCUGUUUCCGUCAUCCUUGGUGGUAGAGCAUUCUUAUUGCCAGUGCUUAGUUACAGCAGCAGGACUAGGCUAGGCUGUCAGAGACCACACCCUUUUGGAAAUGUUCUGCCCCUCUUUCUGCUUGCUGCCAAUGCUUUCUUUCCUUUCUCUCUCCUUUCUCUUUCUCUUUUUUUCUCUCUUUCUCCUGUGCAUUAUUUAGUGAGAUGCGGAGAAUCACUUGAAUGUUAGGUUUUCUAUUAAGAUUACCUUCCAGAGGAGAAGUUUGAGCACUUAACUGGUAAAACAGGUAAGUGCGGGCCUUCAGCAGAUGUUUUUGUCAUUUACCUGAAUUAAGGUAUUUAAACACUUUGGCACAGCUCUUGUCUGGAUUCUGAUGACUUAGGUGAUACAGUAAACACACAUGUGACUAAGGAUGUUAAACUACCACGAACUGAAUGUCAAAUUAGUCAGUGUCUUUAGAAUUGUCCCCAAGGGUGUGUGUUAUUCCUUGAGAAAGGAGUAGAUUUAACUAAAUCAAAAACAUAGGAAUCGGGCUUCCCUGGUGGCGCAGUGGUUGAGAGUCCGCCUGCCGAUGCAGGGGACACGAGUUCGGGCUCCGGUCCGGGAAGAUCCCACAUGCCGCGGAGCGGCUGGGCCUGUGAGCCAUGGCGGCUGGGCCUGCGCGUCCGGAGCCUGUGCUCCGCAACGGGAGAGACCACAGCAGUGAGAGGCCCGCGUACCGCAAAAAGAAAAACAAAAAAAAAAACAAAAAAAAACCCAAAAAAACCCCAUAGGAAUCAUAGCAAAAUCAAUUUUAGUCUCAGAAAACCUUGAAACAAGAUAAUCUGCGUUGUCUGAAUAGUUUUAAGUUAACUAGACAUUCUCUUUUGGGGAAAACAACUUUUGCUUGAAACCUUCAGCUGCUUUUAAAGUAUAUAUUUCUUACAUAAUGUGCCAUGGAAAAACUGAUGAGGUAACAGAUUUUGUGAGUACCAACUUUAUGGACAAAUACUGGACAACAGUAUUUACAAAGCCCAUUUCAUGGAUUGCCAAAGCAAAGACGACAGUUUAUUUCUUAGAGGAAUUUUGCAUAGGUUUUUUUGGCUUUUAAAAUUGGUAACCAUAGCCCUGGAUAGUAAUAUUCCUUACAUUGUCAUCCAUAAAUAGGGUUGGAAUUGGAACUGUUCUUAAAUUGUUGUUCAGUAAGAAUCGGAUGCACACUUACUCAUGAAGUUAUAAGAAAAGUUUGUAAUUACUUGUAAAUAAUGAUGAUUUUCAUUUAUUUUACUUUAGGUGGUCUUUUAAAUCUCAUAAAGCUUUUUUAGACUUAGAGUUAGUGCUGCACGUGUUCAGAAUUAAGGAUUAAUCCCAUGUGGAAAAUUGAAUCUGACAGUGUGUUUAAUUAGCACUGAAUGCAGUUUUCAGGUGUGAGGCUGAGAGCUGCUCAAGAAAUCCAGCAGAGUUCUGUGUGAGUUAAGUCGAGUUGGUAAUGAAAGCAUUGAGAGCUCAGAGCUGUACGGUGGAUGUCCCCAGGGGUGGAAUGUGACAGGCGGGCCAGAUCUACUGUGAUAUUUCCCUUUUCUAGCAGUUUUGUCAAAAUACCACCCAUCUAGUGUAGCUGGCUACCUCUACCUUUGCAUCCUUGUUAAACCUAAAUAAGACAGCUACUGGGUUUUGGUGUAAUACUUGAUUUCCCAUCAGGAGAAGUUCUAUUUUAAUAAGCUUUUGGCAUAAAUGUUAAUAGCCGAAUUCCUUCAUCUGGAGAAUAUCAGGAAAUUGGAAGCCUGAUUGGAACCCCAUCGAACUCUGUUAGUGGUGGAUAACAAUGUGAAGCGCUGGUUACUGAUUCUCUGUAUUGAAUAAGUCCCAAGCACUUGAUAUCUCGUCCAGUCCUCACAAUAAUCCCAUGAGCUAGGUAUUAAUGAUACCCAUUUUGCUGAUAAGAGAAUGAAGCUCGGGGUGCAGUAACUGGUGUAGGAUCCCCAGGGUGGUGAGUGGUGGUGUCUGGCUAGGAAUGAGGGCUGCCUGGCUCCCAGGCCGUGCCUUUGCCCCAUGGUAGGGCAUGCCCGAGCCUGGGGAGGUGCUCGUGGUGGCAGACCUAGCCUGAUGCAGCCGCUCAGCAGUGGGGCCUGCUGGCGGAGACUGGGUUCCGCCAUUCUUUACGCUGUCACCUGGAUCCUGCCCCUUUCGUUUGGGCCCUAGUCAGAUUGUGGUUUAGGGCCGCAUUCUUCAGACCUUGCAAAAUUACUUGCUCUGGAGUGGGGAGGCCGAGGAAGUAUCUGGUCCAGUGUCAUGGGGAUGGUAAUGAUAACCCAACCCAUGUCUCUCAAUAAUCUCUUCCAGAGGCAACAGAUAGCUUGGGAAAGGCAACAGAGCCCACGUCAGCCAUGGGGGGCAGCAUAGGCAGCCCCAGUGCUGCCAGAUGAAAAAUCACCCAUUAACACCACCCAGGUAGGAGACCGCUGCCCUGUCAGCUUAACCAGCAUGUAUCAACAAGAUGGCAUUCUUAAGCAUCUGAUCAGCGGGGCUAACUAUGCAGCCACCUUCCAUGUGAGCACCACGUUCCUUUUCAGAAGGACAGAAGAGAAUUCUGGGAGUUCCACUGCCAAACAGAACAUGGCUCACCCUCAAUGCUCAGGAAACUCCCAUCACGAGUCUCUGGAAUCCCUGCCUCGGGAACACCAAGCAGCCCAGUGGCUCUGUCUUGAGUUAGGCUGGCCCUGACUGGGAGCUGGAGACUCCUGACUACCUUGUAAAGAAGGCUGCAGAUGGGCGUAAGGGCAUGAAAUUCUCCAUCAUCUUCCCAAGAGCCCAAGGAUUUAGUUCACCAGAUCCCUUUCCAGGAUGUCUUCUGGGAGUACCUGGGUCUGAAAUGGAUAUUUAACAUGGAGAGUGCAUAUAAGGCUUUCAUGGAAAAAAAAAAAACUUCUGUUAGAAAAAUCAGAAUUGUUAUGGGAAUGAAUGUAUGGUAUGCUGUAUGUUUUGAAUAUAAAACCCUUGUGGGGGGCUUCCCUAGUGGCUCAGUGGUUGAGAGUCCUCCUGCCGAUGCAGGGGACACGGGUUCGUGCCCCGGUCCGGGAAGAUCCCACAUUCCGCGGAGCGGCUAGGCCCGGGAGCCAUAGCCGCUGAGCCUGCGCGUCCGGAGCCUGUGCUCCGCAACGGGAGAGGCCACAACAGUGAGAGGCCUGUGUACCGCAAAAAAUAAAAAUAAAAUAAUAAAACCCUUGUGGGGCUUCCCUGGUGGCGCAGUGGUUAAGAGUCCGCCUGCCGAUGCAGGGGACAUGGGUUCGUGCCCUGGUCCGGGAAGAUCGCACAUGCCGCGGAGCAGCUGGGCCCGUGAGCCAUGGCCGCUGAGCCUGCACGUCCGGAGCCUGUGCUCCGCCAACGGGAGAGGCCACAAUAGUGAGAGGCCCGCGUACCGCAAAAAAAAAACAAAAAAACCCUUGUGAACUGAAGUGCCAAAUGAAGUCAUCUCUCUGGGUGUAUAUGUAUGCGUGUACCCACAAAAUAACAAAUGUGAUCUUACUGCCAAUAAAACAGGUUUGAAAAUAUC